rnacentral:rRNA from 1 species
ACUAGCAGUAAGAGUUUGAUCCUGGCUCAGAACGAACGCUGGCGGCAGGCUUAACACAUGCAAGUCGAGCGCUCUCUUCGGAGGGAGCGGCGGACGGGUGAGUAACGCGUGGGAACGUGCCCCUUGGUGCGGAACAACAGCUGGAAACGGCUGCUAAUACCGCAUGAUGUCUACGGACCAAAGAUUUAUCGCCAAGGGAUCGGCCCGCGUCGGAUUAGGUAGUUGGUGGGGUAACGGCCCACCAAGCCGACGAUCCGUAGCUGGUUUGAGAGGAUGAUCAGCCACACUGGGACUGAGACACGGCCCAGACUCCUACGGGAGGCAGCAGUGGGGAAUCUUGGACAAUGGGGGCAACCCUGAUCCAGCCAUGCCGCGUGAGCGAUGAAGGCCCUAGGGUUGUAAAGCUCUUUCACCCGCGAAGAUAAUGACGGUAGCGGGAGAAGAAGCCCCGGCUAACUCCGUGCCAGCCGCCGCGGUAAUAC